CACGUAGGCACCAAGCGUUGUCCGGAUUUAUUGGGCGUAAAGAGCUCGUAGGCGGUUCAGUAAGUCGGGUGUGAAAACUUUGGGCUUAACCCAAAGCGUGCAUCCGAUACUGCUGUGACUUGAGUUCGGUAGGGGAGUGGGGAAUUCCUAGUGUAGCGGUGAAAUGCGCAGAUAUUAGGAGGAACACCGGUGGCGAAGGCGCCACUCUGGGCCGAAACUGACGCUGAGGAGCGAAAGCAUGGGGAGCGAACAGG
rnacentral:rRNA from 1 species